GGGGCCUUGCGGGCAGGCGGGCGGAGAAGGCGGACCGCCGGGAGGAGCAGACGUGGGAAAUCAAAUUAAGGAUCACUAGAAAUAGAAAAUGUGGAUCUUUUACCCCAUGAUGGAAAAUGCUACAGAUGAACCAAAAAGCAUCGGGGUAAGAAGCAUCGUACAGCAUCUGAACAGUCCACCAACCUUACGAUAGAUGGGAGUCUUGCCAUGUUGCCUAGCCUGAAGUUCAGUGGCUAUUCACAGCACGAUCACAGCACACUACAGCCUCAAACACCUGUGCUCAGCAAUCCUCCUGCCUCAGCCUCCUGAGUAGCUGAAACUACUGUGUGCACCACACCCAGCCGUGUAAAUGGUAAAACCAACCUGCUAAUUUCUACGAAAUACCCUAAUGGGGUUUUUAUUGAGAUUACAUUAAAUCUAUAAAUCAAUUUGGGAAGAAAUGA